rnacentral:rRNA from 1 species
AACGAACGCUGGCGGCAGGCCUAACACAUGCAAGUCGAGCGAGGACUUCGGUCCUAGCGGCGGACGGGUGAGUAACGCGUGGGAACGUACCCUUUGCUACGGAAUAGCCUCGGGAAACUGGGAGUAAUACCGUAUGUGCCCUUCGGGGGAAAGAUUUAUCGGCAAAGGAUCGGCCCGCGUUGGAUUAGGUAGUUGGUGGGGUAAUGGCCUACCAAGCCGACGAUCCAUAGCUGGUUUGAGAGGAUGAUCAGCCACACUGGGACUGAGACACGGCCCAGACUCCUACGGGAGGCAGCAGUGGGGAAUCUUAGACAAUGGGGGAAACCCUGAUCUAGCCAUGCCGCGUGAGCGAUGAAGGCCUUAGGGUUGUAAAGCUCUUUCAGCUGGGAAGAUAAUGACGGUACCAGCAGAAGAAGCCCCGGCUAACUCCGUGCCAGCCGCCGCGGUAA